CCUACGGGUGGCAGCAGUCGAGAAUCAUUCACAAUGGGGGAAACCCUGAUGGUGCGACGCCGCGUGGGGGAAUGAAGGUCUUCGGAUUGUAAACCCCUGUCAUGUGGGAGCAAAUUAAAAAGAUAGUACCACAAGAGGAAGCGACGGCUAACUCUGGGCCAGCAGCCGCGGUAAUACAGAGGGCUCAAGCGUUGUUCGGAAUCACUGGGCGUAAGGCGUGCGGAGGCUGUUUCGUAAGUCGUGUGUGAAAGGCGCGGGCUCAACCCGCGGACGGCACAUGAUACUGCGAGACUAGAGUAAUGGAGGGGGAACCGGAAUUCUCGGUGUAGCAGUGAAAUGCGUAGAUAUCGAGAGGAACACUCGUGGCGAAGGCGGGUUCCUGGACAUUAACUGACGCUGAGGCACGAAGGCCAGGGGAGCGAAAGGGAUUAGAUACCCCUGUAGUC
rnacentral:rRNA from 1 species